AAUAGAUCUGUGGUCUGUAGUCCAAAUGUCUACAUGAAAAUUGGAUGGUAUGCAGUAUGGAGGCAUAGCAGAUGUGCCUUGAUCCCACUGAACAUCUUAGGAGACUGUUUCCAUGCAGUCACCACUCUUUCUCUAGAGCUAUAGAAAUGUGGCCUGCCAGAGGUUUAAGAGCAGAAGCUUGAGGGUAUUGAGUUUUGCAGGACAGUGCAAAUAAGACAAUGAUGUCACUUCAUAAAUCUAAGUUUUGUCAGCACCUUCAGAUUUGACAUUUUGGUACUUCAAGAAUAUCUCAAAGGUAAACAGAACUGAUAAAACUUCAAUAUGAGCCUAAGGGAUUAUCAAGUUUUGGAGUGAUUUCUACCUGAGAACUGAAAUUACCUGGUUGGAACUCAUCAGUAGAGGGAAAUACAGCAGAAGAAUCCUGAAAUACUGUGAGUUGGAAGGGACUCACCAGGAUCACUGAGUCCAAUUCUUAAGUGAAUGACCUGUACAGGCACUGAACCCAUAACAUUGGUGUUGUUACCACCAUGCUUUGAUGCUGGAUAUAUGCAUGUAAUUUCCCUGCUCAGCUGGCUUCUGCUCCAUGUUCCUGCUAGCAACAAAUCAAAUUAAAUAAAUGGAAUGUAACACA